CCUACGGGAGACAGCAGUGAGGAAUAUUGGUCAAUGGGCGCGAGCCUGAACCAGCCAAGUAGCGUGAAGGAAGACUGCCCUACGGGUUGUAAACUUCUUUUAUAAAGGAAUAAAGUGAGGCACGUGUGCCUUUUUGUAUGUACUUUAUGAAUAAGGAUCGGCUAACUCCGUGCCAGCAGCCGCGGUAAUACGGAGGAUUCGAGCGUUAUCCGGAUUUAUUGGGUUUAAAGGGGGCGGAGAGGGGUUGUUAAGUCAGUUGGUAAAGUUUGGGGCUCAACCGUAACAUAGCUAUUGAUACUGGUAUUCUUGAGUGAGGUAGAGGUAGGCGGAAUGCGUGGUGUAGCGGGGAAAUGCAUAGAUAUCACGAAGAACUCCGAUUGCGAAGGCAGCAUACC
rnacentral:rRNA from 1 species